GAUGAACGCUGGCGGCGUGCUUAACACAUGCAAGUCGAACGAUGAAGGGGGAGCUUGCUCCUCUGGAUUAGUGGCGAACGGGUGAGUAACACGUGAGCAAUCUGCCCCUGACUCUGGGAUAAGCGUUGGAAACGACGUCUAAUACCGGAUACGAGCCGAGCAGGCAUCUGCAUCGGUUGGAAAGAACUUCGGUCAGGGAUGAGCUCGCGGCCUAUCAGCUAGUUGGUGAGGUAAUGGCUCACCAAGGCGACGACGGGUAGCCGGCCUGAGAGGGUGACCGGCCACACUGGGACUGAGACCCGGCCCAGACUCCUACGGGAGGCAGCAGUGGGGAAUAUUGCACAAUGGGCGCAAGCCUGAUGCAGCAACGCCGCGUGAGGGACGACGGCCUUCGGGUUGUAAACCUCUUUUAGCAGGGAAGAAGCGAGAGUGACGGUACCUGCAGAAAAAGCACCGGCUAACUACGUGCCAGCCGCCGCGGUAA
rnacentral:rRNA from 1 species